GAUGAACGCUGGCGGCGUGCCUAAUACAUGCAAGUCGAGCGAACGGACGAGAAGCUUGCUUCUCUGAUGUUAGCGGCGGACGGGUGAGUAACACGUGGAUAACCUACCUUUAAGACUGGGAUAACUUCGGGAAACCGGAGCUAAUACCGGAUAAUAUUUUGAACCGCAUGGUUCAAAAGUGAAAGACGGUCUUGCUGUCACUUAUAGAUGGAUCCGCGCUGCAUUAGCUAGUUGGUAAGGUAACGGCUUACCAAGGCAACGAUGCAUAGCCGACCUGAGAGGGUGAUCGGCCACACUGGAACGGAGACACGGUCCAGACGCCUACGGGAGGCAGCAGUAGGGAAUCUUCCGCAAUGGGCGAAAGCCUGACGGAGCAACGCCGCGUGAGUGAUGAAGGUCUUCGGAUCGUAAAACUCCGUUAUUAGGGAAGAACAUAUGUGUAAGUAACUGUGCACAGCUUGACGGUACCUAAUCAGAAAGCCACGGCUAACUACGUG
rnacentral:rRNA from 1 species